rnacentral:misc_RNA from 1 species
GGUGCCCAUGUUUGUGAUUUCAAAAAAAGGGUAGUGAGUUUGUAUCUGUGGCAUAUUCAUUAUUUGUUGCAGCAAUGGUGAUGAGAUGGCAGGUUGUACUGCAAACAUUUUGUGUUGGUGAUAAUAGUGAUAAAGAAUGGAUUGCAUGAGAUAUCUUAUUGCCUGAUGGAAUUGGAAAAAUCUUGGAAGUGUAGGAUAGAUUU